rnacentral:rRNA from 1 species
GAUGUCAACUAGCCGUUGGGACUCUUGAAGUCUUAGUGGCGCAGCUAACGCACUAAGUUGACCGCCUGGGGAGUACGGCCGCAAGGUUAAAACUCAAAUGAAUUGACGGGGGCCCGCACAAGCGGUGGAGCAUGUGGUUUAAUUCGACGCAACGCGAAGAACCUUACCUGGCCUUGACAUCCAGAGAACUUUCCAGAGAUGGAUUGGUGCCUUCGGGAACUCUGUGACAGGUGCUGCAUGGCCGUCGUCAGCUCGUGUCGUGAGAUGUUGGGUUAAGUCCCGUAACGAGCGCAACCCCUAUCCCUGGUUGCUAGCAGGUAAUGCUGAGAACUCCAGGGAGACUGCCGGUGACAAACCGGAGGAAGGUGGGGAUGACGUCAGGUCAUCAUGGCCCUUACGGCCAGGGCUACACACGUGCUACAAUGGCGCGUACAGAGGGCUGCGAACUCGCGAGGGUAAGCCAAUCCCUUAAAACGCGUCGUAGUCCGGAUCGGAGUCUGCAACUCGACUCCGUGAAGUCGGAAUCGCUAGUAAUCGCGAAUCAGAAUGUCGCGGUGAAUACGUUCCCGGGCCUUGUACACACCGCCCGUCACACCAUGGGAGUGGAUUGCACCAGAAGUGGUUAGUCUAACCUUCGGGAGGACGAUCACCACGGUGUGGUUCAUGACUGGGGUG